AUGCAACUUUCGGGGGCCGAACUUAACCUUCGGGGGUCGAACAUUGGGCACUUUCGGCGGCCGAACUUUAACAUUCGGGGGCCGAACAUGACAGAAACUCCUUUGGCCAAUUCUCCACAAAACUCAACUCGUUUUCUACCCUAAACCUUUAAAACACUUGAAAACAUUUGAGAAAACUUUCUCGUACCCUUCCAGAGACCUCUGACAUCCUCAAAUUCCACCGGACGGUAGGAAUUCUGAUGUCUGAA
rnacentral:lncRNA from 1 species